rnacentral:rRNA from 1 species
GGCGAGCUAGUCAGCUCCAGCCGCAUGGCCGCGGGAUUCAGCAGCCGCGGUAUACGGAGGGUGCAAGCGUUAAUCGGAAUUACUGGGCGUAAAGCGCACGCAGGCGGUCUGUCAAGUCGGAUGUGAAAUCCCCGGGCUCAACCUGGGAACUGCAUUCGAAACUGGCAGGCUAGAGUCUUGUAGAGGGGGGUAGAAUUCCAGGUGUAGCGGUGAAAUGCGUAGAGAUCUGGAGGAAUACCGGUGGCGAAGGCGGCCCCCUGGACAAAGCCUGACGCUCAGGUGCGAAAGCGUGGGGAGCAAACAGGAUUAGAUACCCUGGUAGUCCACGCCGUAAACGAUGUCGACUUGGAGGUUGUGCCCUUGAGGCGUGGCUUCCGGAGCUAACGCGUUAAGUCGACCGCCUGGGGAGUACGGCCGCAAGGUUAAAACUCAAAUGAAUUGACGGGGGCCCGCACAAGCGGUGGAGCAUGUGGUUUAAUUCGAUGCAACGCGAAGAACCUUACCUACUCUUGACAUCCAGAGAACUUUCCAGAGAUGGAUUGGUGCCUUCGGGAACUCUGAGACAGGUGCUGCAUGGCUGUCGUCAGCUCGUGUUGUGAAAUGUUGGGUUAAGUCCCGCAACGAGCGCAACCCUUAUCCUUUGUUGCCAGCGGUCCGGCCGGGAACUCAAAGGAGACUGCCAGUGAUAAACUGGAGGAAGGUGGGGAUGACGUCAA